AUCCAGAUGACGAGUCCCAAAUAAGACGAAAUGUGGCGCAUCCUGGUGGAU
rnacentral:hammerhead_ribozyme from 1 species